rnacentral:tRNA from 1 species
GCGCGUAUAGCUCAGUUGGUUAGAGCACCACCCUUAUAAGGUGGGGGUCGCCGGUUCAAGUCCAGCUACGCGCA